rnacentral:rRNA from 1 species
CAAGUCGAACGGGCUAGUUGCUUCGCACUAGUCUCUUUUCUGGGGUUGCUACUCUAAGGCUACCUGCUAAAGUUAUUGCUUAAGCAGGGUUUAGGGACCUCCCAAAAGGGGCCAGUGCGGAGCACUGGCCAGUGGCGAACGGGUGAGUAACACGUGGGUAAUCUGCCCUCGAGUGGGGAAUAAGCUCCCGAAAGGGGGUCUAAUACCGCAUGACGUUUCAUAACGAUGGUUAUGAAACCAAAGCCCAAAAGGCGCUUGAGGAGGAGCCUGCGUCCUAUCAGCUUGUUGGCAGGGUAAUGGCCUACCAAGGCUAUGACGGGUAGCCGGCCUGAGAGGGUGUCCGGCCACACUGGAACUGAGACACGGUCCAGACUCCUACGGGAGGCAGCAGUGGGGAAUUUUGCGCAAUGGGGGAAACCCUGACGCAGCGACGCCGCGUGGAGGAUGACGGCCUUCGGGUUGUAAACUCCUGUCAGAAGGGACGAAAUCCCGCAAGGGACUGACGGUACCUUCAGAGGGAAGCCCCGGCUAACUACGUG